rnacentral:rRNA from 1 species
UACGUAGGGGGCAAGCGUUGUCCGGAAUCAUUGGGCGUAAAGAGCGUGUAGGCGGCCUGGUAAGUCCGCUGUGAAAGUCCAGGGCUCAACCCUGGAAUGCCGGUGGAAACUGUCAGGCUCGAGUCCGGAAGAGGCGAGUGGAAUUCCUGGUGUAGCGGUGAAAUGCGCAGAUAUCAGGAGGAACACCGGUGGCGAAGGCGGGUCUCUGGGCCGUUACUGACGCUGAGGAGCGAAAGCGUGGGGAGCGAACAGG